UGUCCUCCAAGCUCAUCACUAAGCCCUGGGUCUGAACCUGUCCCUGUGCAACUGGGUCCUGGACUUCCUGACGGAAGGUGUUGGAGGAGUAUGGGGUUUUGGACAGUCCAGAGAUGGAGCUGAGCCCAGAGGACCCAUCUACAGGUGGUUCAUCGCCCCUUGAUUCAUCAUCUCCCUGGCCUGGUUCAUCACCUCUCCGGCCCCUCUCCCCAACGCCCAGGCCCUUCUUACCAACACCCAACCCACAAUCCAGGCGCACCCGUGCUCUCUGCCAUGCAACUCCAUCAACCUCCACCCCAUCUCCCCGAUCCAGCUCCAAUGCCCAGAAGAGGAAGACAGCUGAGGAUCCUUUGGACACUGACAUUAUGCAGCGGGUGCAUGACUUAAAAAAAACGGCAGCAGGAGUUACAGAAACAGCAGCAGUGUCCAGCAAAGGCCGUCUACGAUGUCAUGGUACCAUGGAUGAUGUCUAUUCCUGCUGAUCAACGUCUCCCGUUUGUCUCACCCCUAAACCUGUUGUGUGCUUUUUUUCUUAUUCAUACGUUAUGGUGGCG
rnacentral:lncRNA from 1 species